CAAUUUCCGUGAUCAGAAGAUGUUUAUUGCAACGUGUUGUGGAAAGAAACAUCAUAUCACAGUGUAGCACUGAUGGCUGAAGAUUAAAAUAAUCAACUUGAAAAAAAAAUACAUCUUUUGUUAUAAUAUUGGUAUUUUUGAAAAUAAGACGAUAAUAACGUCACUUACUUCCUGUGAUGACAAAGUUUUCGCAUAACAACACAAAUUUAUAUCCUCACUUUUAAUGUGAGUUAACAAGACUCACUAUACACGAUCUCGAGUUUGUGCAGAUUAUAGAUGCCUCGUUAUUAUAAAAGAACAUCAGAUAAGAAUAAUUGGACUGAGGAAAUCUUAAAAUCAGCGAUUUAUGAAAGUCAAUAAAAUGAAAAUUAGAGCUGCUGGGUGAAAAUUCAAUAUUUCGGAAUCAACUUUUAGAAAGCAAUUGAAAGAAAGUUUUAUAUGCCAUGUGCCGUUGGAUCGAAAGCCAACAUUUACGGUUGAUGAAGAGAAAGAAUUGACAAGUCAUAUCCCCUCACACAUCUUAUUGAAUUCAACCUUUAGACUUGACAUUUUUUGGCCUAUUGAAGAACACUUUAUAUAGAGAAUAUGAUUUAUUACUUAAAAUCGACUAGUCAAAAAAAUAACCGAGUAUGAUCUUGCAGAGUUGUUAAAUAAAGCCUUUUUAAAAGUAGUUUUUUAAAAGUAGCUAUAAAGAAAGGCAUAUCUAAUUUUCGUACAGCAGGUAUUUACCCUCUAAACCUUGAUAGAUUUGACGAAAAUGAUUUUGCUCCAUCAGUUGCUGAAGAAGGAUCUCUUACUGAAGUCAUCUUCGAUAAUCGAAAUUCAAAUUCCAUUGAAAUAUCAGUAAUAUAGAUAAUUUUCCUGAUUCUUACAACAAGAGGCAAAUCCAAUAUCAAAAUCUAGUACUUCAAAGACUUCUGAUCAAGUCAAAAUUAUUGAUAUUUCACCCAUUUUUUUUCUUUGAGAAAAUCUCAUGUGGCAACGUGAUUCUCAUUCAGAAAUUUUAAUUGCCUCAAAAAUAAAAAUUACAAGACAAAUUGGAAAAACAGAAAAAGGCCGAAGAAAACAAGAAGCAGAAUACCAUAAAAGCAAUUACAAAGAAAGCUAAAAAAAAACGUAAAAUGUAAACAGAAAAACAUUUUUGUAAUCAUAUUUU